rnacentral:rRNA from 1 species
UACAGAGGUCUCAAGCGUUGUUCGGAUUCAUUGGGCGUAAAGGGUGCGUAGGUGGCGGGGUAAGUCAGGUGUGAAAUCUCGGGGCUCAACCCCGAAACUGCAUUUGAUACUGCCUUGCUCGAGUACUGGAGAGGAGAUUGGAAUUUACGGUGUAGCAGUGAAAUGCGUAGAUAUCGGGAGGAACACCAGUGGCGAAGGCGACUACCUGGCCUGUUCUUGACGCUGAGGCGCGAAAGCUAGGGGAGCAAACGGG